rnacentral:rRNA from 1 species
UACGAAGGGGGGCUAGCGUUGUUCGGAAUUACUGGGCGUAAAGCGCACGUAGGCGGAUCGAUCAGUCAGGGGUGAAAUCCCAGGGCUCAACCCUGGAACUGCCUUUGAUACUGUCGAUCUGGAGUAUGGAAGAGGUGAGUGGAAUUCCGAGUGUAGAGGUGAAAUUCGUAGAUAUUCGGAGGAACACCAAUGGCGAAGGCGGCUCACUGGUCCAUUACUGACGCUGAGGUGCGAAAGCGUGGGGGAGCGAACAGG